UGCCAUUGCACUCCAACUUGGGCAACAAGAGCAAAACAUCUCUGAAAAAAAAAAGAGUAAAACACUGGUUGCUCUCUGUUUUAGUAAUGUGUUAUUUAUUAGGUAAAUGUGAUACAUAUUAAGUAAAGUGGGAUUUUUCUUAGAGAAGAUAUUUAUCUCUAUUGAGGUAGCAAAAUAAAUAUGUAUAGAUUGAAUGAAUUUGUCUCCCUUUAGGUUUAAAUAAGAAAUGGGUGUGUGUGUUUUCUUGGCCUAUUCCUAUUUUUCCUGGCUUAUUCAUAUUCUAAUUCCUCUUGUUUAUAUAAUUAUUCACUUUGAUCACCUCAUAUAUCUUAUCUUUUUCGGGUGGCCUAAAAGCAAAAAUAUUCUUACAGUCUAGUCAGCAUUUGCUGUGCUUCUUAUUAUUGUACUUGUUUAGCACAAACUUGAUGCUGAUUCUACUUCUCAUUCUUCAUGACAAAACAAGUGGAAAAAAUAUCUGGGAAUUGGCUCUAUGACAUGGCUAAAUAACACUAAUAUGGGUCUUGUGCUCUUAAUCUAUAAAAUGGGAAUAAUAAAAAUAUCAAGUCUGUAAUCACUGCUAUAUGAAAACCCCGAGUUUUAUGAGUGCUUCUGGGAAUACCUAGUAAAGAAAACAUAUCUGUGUGCUUUAUCUUUUAAUAGUUAAAAACAGUUUUGACAAUAAGUAGUUUAUAUUUAUUAGUUAUUAUAAUACAUAUAAUUGUAAAUAGUUUAUAGGUAUUAGUUAUUAUAAUAUACAUGUACAUAUAACACAUUCAUAUAAACUAUAAGUAGUUUAUACAUAUUAGUAAUUAUAAUAUACCUAUUAUAAUAACUAAGAAUAGAAAAGCAAUGUAGAAACUAAGAGUUAUAUAAUACCCAUAGUAAUUAAUCAAUAAGCAAAUACUAUUUUUAGUAUUUUUAUACUAUUUGUAUAUGUAUUCAUUACUUUAUGUAUAUAAUUCUUUAUAUAAUUCUUAGGUUCUAUAAUACCUUUAUUCUGUAUAUUUUGAAUUAUGUAUUUAAUAGCCUAAUAUAUUUCUAAUUUGCAGAAAACAAGGAAAAUUGUCUUCCUUCAAUUAUUAUAAGUAUGCAUUUCUUUAUCCAGGGAGGCUAAAAGGCAAGAUCAUAACAAGCUAUUAUAUGGAAAAUUGGUUCUUCAAAAUAUUCCUUUUAAAAUUGAGGCAACAGAAUCAUUUUUCCCUCUCAUUGUAUGUUUAACUUAAAAUUGUUUCAACAACAAUAUGUAGAUUGCCAGUUCAAGUUCUCAGGUGUAACAAGACUCACAUUUCUUUGUUAUACAAUAUAAUAUAAAUAUAAAGUAAAACAUUAUAUUAAAAUGAAAGUUUUAUAAUAUUUAGACAUUAAUAUCUCAGCCUUUCAUUAGCAUAUUAUUUGAAGAAAGGCAUUCACUUUUUCACAGGUUACUUCCUUGCUCCUGAAAAUGACGAUGUUCUAUUUUCUACUAUUUUUGUCUAAAAAUUUAAACAGGUUAGUAUAUCCUCUGCAUAAAUGCUACAAAAUACAAUGCACAAUAAUUUUGUUAAAAUUACUAAAUAUUAGUAAAAAAUUCGAUUAGUUUUCUUAAUAAUUGUUUCCUUAUUUUUCAUAUCUAUAUAUGCAGUCAUUCUAAAGUUAAGGACUACUCUCUUGAUAAUGGAGAAAUCUUUCAACACACAAAAACAAAAUUUUUAUUGUCUUUUAAAUAGGUCCUGAGAAGAGGACUAGAAAAAGGCAACACAUCAAAAAGUUAAGAGGCAGAAAUAGCUUUUAUGUUGCUGGUAAAUUUAAUGAGAUCUUAAGUUUUUCGACUGGCAAGUCUCAUCUCUUUGAGCAUCUCAGUGAAGACUGUCAGAAAUCAUCAAAAUUCAACACAACAGAGUAAAAGCUAAUAGCAUUUUUGUUAUACCAAAACUGAAAGGAUUGAUGUUCUUAAGUAACAAAAAGCAAUAAAGAUAAAAUACAGGACAUCAAAGAUAUCACAUACAUUCAUAUAUCUCAAGAAAUGAAAGCAAUGAAAGAGCUGUGAUAUGAUCCAUAUUUUUUGUUUAUUGACAACUAAUGCAAAAUUCCAAACAAUAAUGAAGCAACUACAGAUUGGGGAAAAUAGUAAAUCAGAAAGAGCAAUUGAGAGAGCCUUUUUAGAAAAAAGUUUUCUCCUUUGGAAUUAUGUUACAUUUUGAGUAAUUAUUAUGAUAUUCAACCAUUAAUUUAUACAUUUGUUUUUAAUUUAACAUAUAUUUUGAGUACUAAAUAUAUCAGGCACUAUUAUAGGUGCUUGUGCUAAUUAACAACCAGUUUUCUAGAAUGUGUAAAGUGCCAUAGAAAAUACCUCUUGGGUUCUAUGCUCACUACCUGGAUGAUGGGUUCAGUCAUACCCAAACCUCAGCAUCAUGCAGUAUACUCUGUAACAAACACUCACAUAUAUCCUCAAAUCUAAAAGUUGAAAUUUAAAAAAAAAAUAAAAAGCAAAUAAUUAUAUUAAGUAUAUUAACUAAAACAAAACUGAUUCCGUUUUAGAAAAAGAAUUUAGAAAUGAGGGGGAGUGGAGACUAGAAUAACACUUAUGGUGUUCAAUCAGAAUCAAAACUAUCAAUAUAUACUUAAGUUUACUUUUUUUCUACGUUAGAUAGAAAUUGAAAAGAAUGUGUAGAUAUAUAAAUAGACCUAGACGCACAUGUUUGUGUGUGAAUGUGUAUAUAUAUAUAUAUUUUUAUUUUUGAGAUGAAGUCUUUCUCUGUCGCCCAGCUUGGAGUGCAGUGGCCCAAUGUCGGCUCACUGCAAGCUCUGCCUCCUGGAUUCAUGCCAUUCUCCUGCCUCAGUCUCCCAAGUAGCUGGGACUACAGGCACCUGCCACCACGCCCAGCUAAUUUUUUUGUAUUUUUAAUAGAGACGGGGUUUCACCGUGUUAGCCAGGAUGGUCUUGAUCUUCUGACCUCAUAAUCCGCCCAUCUCAGCCUUCCAAAGUGCUGGGAUUACAGGUGUGAGCCAUAGCGCCCGGCCGAAUGUGUGUAUAUUUCUUAAUUUUAACCACUAAGACUAGAAGCAAUAACAUUUUAAUAGCAAUCAGCACAUCUAGCAUUCAAAUCUUGGAUUCACUUUUUUCUUCUUUAAAAGGAUACAGAGCUCCUUGGAUCAAUGCCUGAUUCUAGGUGCAUGCGGCAGAAAGAACAAAAUGGGUCUGAGACAUCUGUUGUUGUUAAGAAAAUAAGGAAGUCUCAACUAAUGAUUGAGACAUGCCAAAGAACAUAGGAGCUAACUAGAAGUGGCUCUCAGUGACCCAAACUGAGAUAAAUUGAACAAGGGAAUAAAUAAUGAUGGCAAUAGAUUAUUCAGAUUAAUUAAACCAAAUACACAUGAAUCCACACUAAUAUAAAUAAAUAAUUGGAUAAAUAAGAAAAGUGGGACAAAGGAAAGCUUUUCCAUACAGUAGAAUUCUAAUCAAUAAAUAUAGAAAGAAUAGUGGAAAUAGAUUCUCAUUUCUUGGCAAAUACCACAUAAUUGUUGCAGACAAGUCUGCUAAAAUUAGUGGAUACAAUUAUGAGAAACAAGAUAUUUACAUAAUCUCCAAGUAUCUCUCAACAAAAUACUGAUUUUAAAAAUGGUAACUUUGAAGUGGAGAAAUGUGGCAGACAAUGUCUUAUUCAAGUGAUCAGAGUUAACGUCAACAAUAUUAGGACACGAUAAUAUCAUGUGCCUCCUGAUAUGAUGCACUGAGAAGGACAACCUCGGCAUUGUGGCAUUCUUGCCAAAAUAUAUUAUGUGAAUUUAACCAUGAAGAAAUAUUAGAAAAAAAUCAAACUUCAAAAUAAUCUACAAAAAACAAGUAUCAAGGGCAUGAAAGACAAAAAGAAAAGCUGAAUUUUCUUUUUUAACUUUUUUUUUUUUGAGAUGGAGUCUUGCACUGUUGCCAAGGCUGGAGUGCAGAGGCGUGAUCUCUGCUCACUGAAAGCUCCGCCUCCUGGGUUCACGCCAUUUUCCUGCCUCAGCCUCCCAAGUAGCUGGGACUACAGGUGCCCGCCACCACGCCAGCUAAUUUUUUGUAUUUUUAGUAGAGACGGGGUUUCACCGUUUUAGCUAGGAUGGUCUCCAUCUCCUGUCCUCAUGAUCCGCCCGCCUCGGCCUCCCAAAGUGCUGGGAUUACAGGCAUGAGCCUCCGCACCCGAAUAAAGAAAACUAAAGAAAUGUAGCAGAUAAAUGCAAUAUGUGACCCUGAUUUUGAUCCUAGUUAAAAAACAUUAGUGGAACCAUGAACAAAAUAUGUAAAUAAGGUCUGUAGGUAAGUAACUAAUUCCGUAUCAAUUUCCUAAUGUGAGUAACUGUACUCUUAGAUAUGGUGUUAGCAGUCAAGAAGCUGGGUGAAGAAUAUAUAGGAAUUCUUGAUUUUUUAAAAUAUAUUUUUGUAAGCUUUAAAGUAGUUCAAAAUGAAAAUUUUAAAAUAAAAUGAAUAAAAAAGAAAAAGGAUAGGAUGGAUCUUCUGAAGUAUUGUGCUAAAUAUGAAAUUCAUGGUCCAUCCCUGAGGUCUUUUAUAUUACAGUGUUUAAGAUAUAAAAUAAAUGUAAAGAAAACCAAAGAAUGAUCAAUAGUGAUUAAAGUUAUCACUAUUUCUGGAUAAACCAUGUUCUACGAUAGCACAUAACUGGUGAUAGCUUGGAGUCAUGUGAAGACCUCUCCAAGAAAAUGAAAUGUAAGGCCGGGCGCGGUGGCUCACGCCUGUAAUCCCAGCACUUUGGGAGGCCGAGGCGGGCGGAUCACGAGGUCAGGAGAUCGAGACCAUCCCGGCUAAAACGGUGAAACCCCGUCUCUACUAAAAAUACAAAAAAUUAGCCGGGCGUAGUGGCGGGCGCCUGUAGUCCCAGCUACUUGGGAGGCUGAGGCAGGAGAAUGGCGUGAACCCGGGAGGCGGAGCUUGCAGUGAGCCGAGAUUGCGCCACUGCACUCCAGCCUGGGUGACAGAGCGAGACUCCGUCUCAAAAAAAAAAAAAAAAAAAAAAAAAAAAAGAAAAUGAAAUGUAAAGUGAUGACUUAAAUAUGGAAAAGGAACCAUUUGAUUAAAAAGCCAAACUAUGAAGCUUCAAAGACAAGAUGUUACCUUGUGCAAAACCCUGCCAUGGGGAAAAACUGUGUUUCAAGAGUGGAAAGAGCCCUGUCUCAUUAGGAGUGAGGGUCUUGAAUGGUGCCUGUGGUUGUAGACAGCAGAGCAGAGCUUUAGCAUCCUGGAGAUUUGUAAUUGUACUCCACAAGUAACUAAAGGAUUUAAGGCAGAGGAGGGAAAGAAUCUUGCUUACAUUACAAAAAAUAAAAAAGAAAAAGAAGAAAUAAAAAAAUAGAAAAAAGUAAUAUAUAUUAUUAUUAUUACAUUGGUUUAUAGUAAUUGGUUUAUAUCUAAUUUGUUUCCCUGUGUUUAUAAUACAUAUAUAUCUCUGCCUCUUAAACCAAGAAUAAUUUUUACAGGGACAAGAAUAAACACAAGGAAAUGAAUUAGAAAACUAUUAAAGUGAAACGACAAGAAGGUGGAGACCUUGUUCAAAAUAAUGAAAUACAUAUUUAAGAUAUGUGCAAGUUUGAAGAAAAGAGCCACUGAUAGGGUUUUGGUGUAUUAGAUAAGAUAAAAUCAAUGGGAACACCAGCUGAAGUAAACAAACAAGCAUACACACACAAACUGGGAAGCAGAGAAAAUAACAAAACUCUACUUAAAACAUUAUGAAUUUCAGUUGUCUAUAAAACAAUCCACAUUUGAUAUUAAGUAAGUAGAUGACUAUGCAAAGCUCUAACUCAGAGAAGAUACCAAAAUUGGAAAUAUUCUGAGAUGCUAUCAUGUAACUGGCCUUUAAACUCAUGAAAAUGCUUGAGAACACUCAGGGGAAAAAGUGAGUAAGUAGAGAAAAAAGAAAGUACUCAGCUAAGUGGAUUGAAGACAGUACAGGAAAUAUUGAAGGAGACUGUCUAUUGUUUGAUUGAUUUCUUUCAAAGAAAGAAUACAAAGUAAGUUGAUAACUGAAGGACAACGGUAGGUCAAUGUAAACUUUUAACAAAAAGGGAAUUAUUCAUUAAUGAGAAUGAUAAUACUAAAAUGAGAGGGAGAGCUAAGGGACAGAAUUUACUUAAUAUUGGGAGAUCUCAUCAAUUUAGCAUAAGACAUGUGGUAACUUUGUAGAAGGUUAUUGUUAUGAAUGCUGUGGGAGUGAAUGCAUUGGGAAAC